GUUUAGCCCUGAUUGUAGCAUUUGUUUGAGCUCUUUUUUAGUUUGUUCGCGAAAAUUUGUGAAGUAUGAGCAAAUUUAUAAAGUGAACAUACUAAAAAAAGCGAGUGCGAAAAGCAGGAAAUAGC
rnacentral:misc_RNA from 1 species